rnacentral:tRNA from 1 species
CGGGACGUAGCGCAGCUUGGUAGCGCACUUGACUGGGGGUCAAGGGGUCGUGGGUUCAAAUCCCGCCGUCCCGA